rnacentral:rRNA from 1 species
UCCUUUACUCCAACUGACUGGCUGGCCUCCACUAUGUUCCUUCACUUUAACCCUUUAAACCGGCUCUUGCUUGAUUAGUUGCACUCUUAGAUCUGCCAUUGUUCCACGUUGAAAGCACACUAUAUGAGGCUUCCAAGAACCGUUCAGAAGCCACUUCGGGGAGGUGAGGAAUCAGGAGUGUGGUUUUCUAUUCUUCUACAUAGCCGUGGAAUACAUUGCGGGAGACCACGAUAGGCGCCCUCUGCGCGCUUCCGAAGACGAACGCGGUGAGUUUGACACGCCAAAGAGAAGAGAGACGCUAGUUCGGUAGUCGUUAAAGCAAAGCCGUUGCCACUAACGUAGUUAACCCUGUCCUCGAGGCCUCAUUCGGCCCGGGAACCGUUGCUUGCCGGCCGCCGGGAGCACAAGAAGGUUGCGCACCCCAUUUAGACUUCUUCGUCUGGAAAACGUCAAAUAUAUACCCCAGCUUAGUUAUCGGGUGUGGUUCCAUUUUCGACUUCCGCAUUCUCUAUUUGUCCCAAUCAUGAGACAACAACGGAGACAAAGGUGGCUUCACUAUGGUUAUUGGUGGCGCUUGUUCUUCGUAAGCAGGUGGGUGUUCCUUUCUUCCUCACUCAAUAAAUACCGGUACUAGAAUGGUCGGUAAGGACAUCGACAACUCCACUAAAGGUCACAGUUACGUAACUUGCUUAAGCAGCCGACCCGCUGUGGUGUGUACUUUCGCCGGUAUGCAAUACGUGCCUUGUAAGGUGCCAGUGGUCUACUUCUCUUGUGUCGACGUGUUGCGGUCUAAGUUCUCUUUUAACUCGUCGAUCCGCUAUUCGAACCCUCCGACUUCUGAGCAUAAACCUUCGACUUCUGUUGAUACGGGUUCUACGAACUGGAGUAACUGUCCCAACUCACCGUUUCGGUGUUCCUUGUUCGGUGACAAGAUGAGGGCCUCUAGUUCCUACGUCACAUGCUACGUCUCCUAGACGAACUACUCAAACUAAUAAUACGCGAGUUCAACUUCCAACUCACGUUGUUUUUAAACCCCGUUCUAGUGAACGUAUUACGGAAGUACCUUAAGAAUUUGUGAUAUCUGUCACUACUCGGGUUAUUAAUGUGGUGCUUUCAGUUACUAUAAGUUCUUUCUGAUCUAGUAGACUUAGUUGUCAGGUUUCUAUACCCGAACGUGUUUCGUCUCGACUCCAAACUAUUUAGUCAAUCCGGUCUUUGCUCAAGAAAGCAAUUACUCUGUUUUUAUAAACCAGCAUUUUUUCUUAACUUUAGAAACUACCUCUUCGACCCUCAAUUUUAAGGUCAAUUUUCAUGUCCCUUCUCUUUUAACCGGCUUCCAUCACGUUCUUACCUUCUUAAUGGACACAACGGUUAUCCAUUACGUUCUUACUGUCUUAACAGACACAACGGUUAUCAGCCGUACCCUCCAUACCCUUUCUGUUGUUACCGGGUUGUUUAGACGUUACUAAGUUUCCACUUCUUCGUGAAAUUAGAGUAUUAAACCUGUACACGAAGUCUACUAAAACUGUUUUUUUCUAAUUGGUUCCUCUAAGAUCUUGUGGACCCUGUUCUAUGUAGUAGGUUAUUGGACUUAAAAGAAUACUGUUUUGAUGUUCUAACACAGUCCAGGUUUUUCAAGAAUGAACAACAACUACUGUACACCCUACUAUAGAACUUCCUACUACCCCGCCCUACCUCCCUCAAAACACGUGGAGACGUUUUACCAAGACUUCCUUCAUCCUAAAACCAGUGGUGAUCUAAAAGGCUCCAACGGUUUCAUUAAUCGGGGUGCAUAGUGAUACUCAAUGGAACGAAUUUUCCACUGUAUAAGACCCUCAAGAAGUUUGAUACACGUAAACCUAGGUGCUCAAGACCGUUGUUGGCACUCAGUGAUCUCACGUAACCAUUCUUAUAUGAAGGUUUCAACUUCCCGUUGGGUAACCGACGGUUCUGAUAACCUGCAAACAACUCCUACCUGGAUUCAUGUUGUGUAACCCUUUUAUAUUACCUUUCACUUGAGACCGUUCAUCUUGUUUACCUCUUACUGUAAAACGGUCGGGAAGCUGACUCGAUAUACAUGGAUGGAGUCUUGGACUUUUCUACGAAGAGUUAGACACGUUACAUAGGGUUCCUAGUGUUUAAACUCUACCCAAAAAAUCGACUAUAAACCUGACGUGUACCUAUACGCCUCUUAAGGGUUUUUCGUAGUGAGAUAAAAUUACGGGAACGUUUAGCCAGUAAGAAAGUCGUUCGUAGAAGUGUGUCAAUAUACAUACAUUAAGUACUAGACUACGUACUAUGCCGUGUCGAACAGUGUUUCCUACUCACGAAGUAGUAUUUCGUAGGCGCACUGUAUCUAUCUCAGGGAAGUUGACAGGCAGUAGACAGUUAUAAACCUUUGCCUCUAUAACUCACAAGACUUGACUUCUUUUAUACGUUAUCGUUUUUUUAUUCCUGAGACCAUACACUACUAUUUAUAUUGUCGCCUCUUCUAAAACGAUCGCACUAACUGACAACCAAGUUCCUUGACAACUUUUAGGCACAUGACUUCAAAUCUCAACCGUUUCAUUUCUUCAAUGGACUCUCGUACCCGUUGAGUUUCGUAGACGCAAUGAAAACAAAUGACCCCGGAAGGUUGAAGCCGUGGGAUGGAAGUAGCCAAACAGCAGACGUAUUCGAGUCUUAAUAUCUCGCACCACCACCACAGUAAUUUUCCAAAGGUGGUCUGAAGUCACUGGAGUAGUCGAACGUCUCUUAAUUAAGGUUCCCCAAGUGAAUACUGUCCCUGGUUAGACUUUUUGAGACGGAUUUUACCGGGUAAUAACUCCAACCUCGUGGAUCAUCACUCUGCCACCCUUACUUCCUUUUGGUCUACCUUCAUAAUGGAGUGACCUUAUAGGUUGUAAACGUACAUCUCUUAAUGUUUCCACUUAGAACAGGAUCGACCGAGUACGGGGUCGAGGACGGUCCCAAUGCGAGCGAGUUUAAAGCAUCAACACUGUUUUAGUUCUCGUAUGGUAAAAAACAGGGCAGUCUCCUCAGUGCGCUAUUACGUGUUCCUGGUCUGUUGGAAUUAGCAGAACUUCUCAAUCAACACGUACGAACAAUACUUUAGUUAACCGUUCCGAGCUAUCAGAAUGGAUGAAGAGAAUCCUUCGAUUGUGAAAGCCGGAGUCCGACAAGGUACCUAUUGGAACACUCGACGAAGGCACUGGAGUGGAGGGAGUGAGUAUACCUUUAUUCCAAGCCGUCAAGUAACUGUAGAUAGGGGGAGCUACACACCUCAUCGUUGGAAGGUAGGGACCUCCUAGAUAGUUAAUGCCUAACGAUGGCGGAACGUAGUUAUUCACGGAGACCUCGUUCGUCGUCGUCGCCACAAUUUCCUAAGAGUCGGGAACGAUUCUAUUUUAAAAUGAGUACAGCGUGUAAUGACUCGGAACUACUUAACGACUGCGGUCUGAUAGAUGGACGGCACUUCUGCUAAAGACAAUGUGUGACACUUCGCAACCGUAGGCACAGACAGCUGUCCGAGGUGCCGGACCUCUUGGACCUUUAACCUGCAACGGUGUUGACAUCUUAUAACAGUCACUGCAGGAGAGAAUUCGUCGAUCUGAACAUAUCAAGACUGCCGUAUCUUAAGUAGCUGGAGUCGUUAUCGGUCAGAGCCUCAAGAAGUCGUGACUUCCAUGAAUCGUAAUGCCCGACAGGUUCGGAGUCCAGGUAGCCACCACUUCGUCGAUAACGACUUUAUUACUUACAACCAUAUUGGCCCACAGGGUUGGAGUGCCUCUAUGUUGUCGGUGAGCUCGCGCCCUGCCCCUCCACCACCGGUGCCCGACUAAUUAAGUUCACCUGCUCUUCUUUAUACUUGUCGCAGAAUCUAUGAGUUCUCCGCUUCUCUCGUGGCUAUUUCCUCCUGAUUCAUAUGUCGUUGCCAGAUCAAAGUUGUUUUUUCUCAUGUGUCGCCACCACAUCCCCCCGGAAGAGCAAACGCUAGCUUACGGCCUUAUUAACGAGAGUUAUUAUUACCUUCAACGUAGUACGACGAACUACAAACAAUGUAAAUGAAACGGGACUUUAAACUCAACGUAACAUACAUAAAACGAUCAACACUUCUUUAAGAUAAAAGUCAAGGUCUCUAAAGUUUAUUACACGGUGAUUCUUGUGGCCUAAACGAACAAAUAACGGAACAUUAUUAUAGGUAACUUCAUGACAUAUAAUAAUUCUGGGUAAGUAAUAAUAAUAAUAAUAAUAAUAAUAAUAAUAAU